rnacentral:misc_RNA from 1 species
GAAAUAUCCCCAGAAUGGGGUUUUACCUCUGAGGCUACAAAGGUGAUUGUUGUUGGAUCUUUUCUGUGUGACCCAUCAGAAUCUGCAUGGACAUGCAUGUUUGGUGAUACUGAGGUUCCCAUUGAAAUCAUUCAAGAAGGUGUUCUCCGCUGUGAAGCUCCUCCCCAUCUUCCAGGAAAGGUCACUUUCUGUAUUACUUCUGGCAAUCGGGAGUCUUGCAGUGAGGUCAGAGAAUUUGAGUAUCGAACUGAGAGUAGCUGUCCUCAUUGCAGCUUAUCCCAAAUGGAAGUUGCUAAGAGUCCAGAAGAGUUGUUGUUACUUGUC